CCCCCAUUUAUCCCUUCAGGGCCAGAGCCCUGUGGGCGGAGCCACCCGGAAGCCACGCCCCUUCCGGGAGGGACGAAAGGGCGUGGCUUCGGGCAGCCCCGCCCCCCUCAGCACCGCCAGCCAAUCAGCUGCGGGAUUUGGGGUGGGGUGGGAGGGGCCGAGAGGCGUUGCUAGGCAACCCUGAGCAGGAAGGGGCGGGGGGAGCGUGGUCGCCAUGGCAACGGUUGCCUGGCAACAGCGCGGGCCAAUAAAAACCGUGACAGGACCUCCUGGCUCCGCCUCCUUCCUUCUGAUUGGCUGCCUGCUCCUGCCACGCUGAUUGGCCGCGCAUCGCCUAGCCCCACCCCCAACCCCUCCCAUUGGCUGUAGAGGGGCGGGCCGGCGCUCUGCGCUUCCUGAUUGGCUCCCCGCUCCGCCCAUCACCUCCUCUCGACCAAUAGGAGGCCGUUUCUUGUUUUCCCCCGCUUCCGCUUCCUCCCUGGGCCAGCCCCGCCUCCUCCGGCGGCUCCGAGCGGNNNNNNNNNNGGCCCAAGAUGGCCGCCGGCCCCCCGCGGAGGCCGCUGGCCAAUGGGGUGGCGGCGGGGCCGGGGGCGGCGGCCAAUCAGGGGGCUCCGUCUACCGGGGGUCCCCCCGCAGGAGGCCCCAGGAGGCCGCGGGAGGAGGCGGCGGCCAAUGAGGAGGCGGGAGGGGGCAGGAAGUCGGCGGCGGCCAUGUUGGGGUCAGCAGCGGCCAUGUUGGGGUCAGCGGAGGUCAGCGAGGGGUCGGCGGAGGUCACCGGGAGGUCGCCGGAGGUCACCGGGAGGUCAUCAGAGGUCACCCAGGGGUCGCCGGAGGUCACCCAGGGGUCAGCGGAGGUCAAGGGGUCAACGGAGGCCAAGGAGGGGUCAACGGAGGUCACCGGGAGGUCACCGGAGGUCAUCUUGGGGUCAACGGAGGCCACCCAGGGGUCAACGGCGGCCAACGCGGGGUCAACCGGGGUCAC
rnacentral:lncRNA from 1 species